GCUGGGCAUGGUGGUGCAUGCCUGUAGUCCCAGCUACUUGGGAGGCUGAAGCAGGAGAAUCGCUUGAACCUGGGAAUUGGAAGUUACAGUGAGCCAAGACUGCGCCACUGCACUCCAGCCUGGGUGACAGAGUGAGACUCUGUCUCAA
ensembl:misc_RNA Metazoa_SRP Metazoan signal recognition particle RNA